rnacentral:rRNA from 1 species
AGGGGGCUUAGUGGUGGGGUGACUGCGUACCUUUUGUAUAAUGGGUCAGCGACUUAUAUUCUGUAGCAAGGUUAACCGUAUAGGGGAGCCGUAGGGAAACCGAGUCUUAACCGGGCGUUAAGUUGCAGGGUAUAGACCCGAAACCCGGUGAUCUAGCCAUGGGCAGGUUGAAGGUUGGGUAACACUAACUGGAGGACCGAACCGACUAAUGUUGAAAAAUUAGCGGAUGACCUGUGGCUGGGGGUGAAAGGCCAAUCAAACCGGGAGAUAGCUGGUUCUCCCCGAAAGCUAUUUAGGUAGCGCCUCGUGAAUUCAUCUCCGGGGGUAGAGCACUGUUUCGGCUAGGGGGCCAUCCCGGCUUACCAACCCGAUGCAAACUGCGAAUACCGGAGAAUGUUAUCACGGGAGACACACGGCGGGUGCUAACGUCCGUCGUGAAGAGGGAAACAACCCAGACCGCCAGCUAAGGUCCCAAAGUCAUGGUUAAGUGGGAAACGAUGUGGGAAGGCCCAGACAGCCAGGAUGUUGGCUUAGAAGCAGCCAUCAUUUAAAGAAAGCGUAAUAGCUCACUGGUCGAGUCGGCCUGCGCGGAAGAUGUAACGGGGCUAAACCAUGCACCGAAGCUGCGGCAGCGACGCUGAUGCGUUGUUGGGUAGGGGAGCGUUCUGUAAGCCU